rnacentral:rRNA from 1 species
UACAGAGGGGGCAAGCGUUGUUCGGAACUACUGGGCGUAAAGGGCGCGUAGGCGGCCCGCUAAGUCGAACGUGAAAUCCCCGAGCUCAACUCGGGAACUGCGUCCGAUACUGGCGGGCUUGAAUCCGGGAGAGGGAUGCGGAAUUCCAGGUGUAGCGGUGAAAUGCGUAGAUAUCUGGAGGAACACCGGUGGCGAAGGCGGCAUCCUGGACCGGCAUUGACGCUGAGGCGCGAAAGCUAGGGGAGCAAACGGG